rnacentral:ncRNA from 1 species
UCACUAUUUAUGGGGUGGUUUAAUAAUAAACUGACUUUAGGUUAGUUUGUUCAGACCUGAGAUAACACCCAUACUACCUGAUCAGGGUAAUGCCUGCGAAGGAAAAAAUAGUGAACAGGUA